rnacentral:rRNA from 1 species
CGCCUCUCGCAAACUAAAGCAUGGGAGGUCUUGCCUGCCCUGUGACCACGUGUUUAACGGCCGCGGUAUUUUGACCGUGCAAAGGUAGCGCAAUCACUUGUCUUUUAAAUAAAGACCCGUAUGAAUGGCUUAACGAGGGCUUAACUGUCUCCUUCCCCCAGUCAAUGAAAUUGAUCCCCCCGUGAAGAAGCGGGGAUAAGAACAUAAGACGAGAAGACCCUGUGGAGCUUUAAAUCAUUAGCUGAUAUUAUAAUAUACUCCUAAUUAAAGGAAACAAAAGUAAUUAAUCUGCUAAUAUUUUCGGUUGGGGCGACCGCGGGGUAAAAAGCAACCCCCGUGAAGAAUGAGAUGACAACCUCAAAACCAUGAGCACCAGCUCUAAGUGGUAAAAAUUUUAGCUAACAGAUCCGGUAUUACCGAUCAACGGACCAAGUUACCCCAGGGAUAACAGCGCAAUCCUCUUAAAGAGUCCAUAUCGACAAGGGGGUUUACGACCUCGAUGUUGGAUCAGGACAUCCUAAUGGUGCAGCCGCUAUUAAGGGUUCGUUUGUUCAACGAUUAAAGUCCU